AGAGCGAACGCUGGCGGCAGGCCUAACACAUGCAAGUCGAGCGCCCGUAGCAAUACGGGAGCGGCAGACGGGAUAGUAACACGUGGGAACGCGCCCUUCGGUUCGGAAUAACUCAGGGAAACUUGAGCUAAUACCGGAUACGCCCUUACGGGGAAAGAUUUAUUGCCGAAGGAACGGCCCGCGUCCGAUUAGCUAGUUGGUGAGGUAAUGGCUCACCAAGGCGACGAUCGGUAGCUGGUCUGAGAGGAUGACCAGCAUCACUGGGACUGAGACACGGCCCAGACUCCUACGGGAGGCAGCAGUGGGGAAUAUUGGACAAUGGGCGCAAGCCUGAUCCAGCCAUGCCGCGUGGAUGAUGAAGGCCUUAGGGUUGUAAAGUCCUUUAACGGGAAGAUAAUGACGGUACCGUAGAAUAAGCCCGGCUAACUUCGCGCCAGCAGCCGC
rnacentral:rRNA from 1 species